rnacentral:rRNA from 1 species
CCUGGCUCACGAUUAAGGCUAGCUACAGCGCUUAACACAUGCAAGUCGAGGGGCAUCAGGAAGAAAGCUUGCUUUCUUUGCUGGCGACCGGCGCACGGGUGAGUAACACGUAUCCAACCUGCCCUUUACUCGGGGAUAGCCUUUCGAAAGAAAGAUUAAUACCCGAUAGCAUAAUGAUUCCGCAUGGUUUCAUUAUUAAAGGAUUCCGGUAAAGGAUGGGGAUGCGUUCCAUUAGGUUGUUGGUGAGGUAACGGCUCACCAAGCCUUCGAUGGAUAGGGGUUCUGAGAGGAAGGUCCCCCACAUUGGAACUGAGACACGGUCCAAACUCCUACGGGAGGCAGCAGUGAGGAAUAUUGGUCAAUGGGCGCGAGCCUGAACCAGCCAAGUAGCGUGAAGGAUGACUGCCCUAUGGGUUGUAAACUUCUUUUAUAUUAGAAUAAAGUGCAGUAUGUAUACUGUUUUGUAUGUAUAAUAUGAAUAAGGAUCGGCUAACUCCGUGCCAGCAGCCGCGGUAAUACGGAGGAUCCGAGCGUUAUCCGGAUUUAUUGGGUUUAAAGGGAGCGUAGGUGGACUGGUAAGUCAGUUGUGAAAGUUUGCGGCUCAACCGUAAAAUUGCAGUUGAUACUGUCAGUCUUGAGUACAGUAGAGGUGGGCGGAAUUCGUGGUGUAGCGGUGAAAUGCUUAGAUAUCACGAAGAACUCCGAUUGCGAAGGCAGCUCACUGGACUGCAACUGACACUGAUGCUCGAAAGUGUGGGUAUCAAACAGGAUUAGAUACCCUGGUAGUCCACACAGUAAACGAUGAAUACUCGCUGUUUGCGAUAUACAGUAAGCGGCCAAGCGAAAGCAUUAAGUAUUCCACCUGGGGAGUACGCCGGCAACGGUGAAACUCAAAGGAAUUGACGGGGGCCCGCACAAGCGGAGGAACAUGUGGUUUAAUUCGAUGAUACGCGAGGAACCUUACCCGGGCUUAAAUUGCAGUGGAAUGAUGUGGAAACAUGUCAGUGAGCAAUCACCGCUGUGAAGGUGCUGCAUGGUUGUCGUCAGCUCGUGCCGUGAGGUGUCGGCUUAAGUGCCAUAACGAGCGCAACCCUUAUCUUUAGUUACUAACAGGUCAUGCUGAGGACUCUAGAGAGACUGCCGUCGUAAGAUGUGAGGAAGGUGGGGAUGACGUCAAAUCAGCACGGCCCUUACGUCCGGGGCUACACACGUGUUACAAUGGGGGGUACAGAAGGCAGCUACCUGGUGACAGGAUGCUAAUCCCAAAAGCCUCUCUCAGUUCGGAUCGAAGUCUGCAACCCGACUUCGUGAAGCUGGAUUCGCUAGUAAUCGCGCAUCAGCCACGGCGCGGUGAAUACGUUCCCGGGCCUUGCACACACCGCCC